rnacentral:lncRNA from 1 species
AAAAAAAAACAACUUAUUUUUCCUUUUGCUGAAAAAGAGAUUUUUCUUUGAAGUUCAUUCCACUUUUUGUCCAUCAAAUUAUCUUUUGUGAAAGUUUAAAUUUAACUUUCAUUGGUGCAACCAGUAAGUAUGAAUUGACACUGCGCUCAGUAGGGUUUCCCUAUAUUACUCCUGAUAUUAACGGCACAUGCUUAUCUUUAGAUUGCUGCUUGUUGUAAUAGUGAAAUAUAGUAUUAGUGCAGUCAGGUUGGCAAUGACUGUAAUGCCACACUGACAGGAUAGUGCGCAUGCGCAAGGUGAAGGGAAUCCAAGAUGGAUUAUCUGUUAUCAUUAUCAGCUGCUGCCCGAAUGGCUUGUUCGUGAUGUGUUCGUGAUUAACAAUGAAUAAAUCUAUAAUUCCGUAAAGUGCGUUGAUUCAUUUCAUAUCAUCGAACAUAACAUGGUGCCGAAACCGAUGGUUUUCCGCGAUCGAAAAAGUAAUUACGGUAUACGGUUACGGAAAAGUCGCGAGUGCUACUGCCAUGUGCCAGUGACAACCAUUGAAGCCUGAGAUUGUGCCAUCAAUCAAAACAGGUAGCCUGCAAUUCCUGCAAAAUCAAGAAAUAGUGUGCCAACACAAAGCAUAAGCAAUGCCGAACACAAGUGCAAAUGGAGAGACCGAGGGAGGAACAGCAUCCCAUGGCUCCACAAAAACAAUAUCUGCCAAGAUAAAGCCUCUGGAAAUUGUCGCCGGAGCGAACAUGGCGGAACGUUGGGAAGUCUGGAAAGCUAGAUUCGAAAUAUUCAUGUGUGCAACAACGUGUGAUGGAGAAUCAGAUGCAAGAAGAAAUUGUCUGCUAUUGCAAUUUCUUGGGGAUGAUGCAUAUAGCUAUAACGCAUCAUUCAAUAAGAAGUACAACGAACUCACACAUAAGCAACUCAUAGAAUUGUUUGAUGCACAUUUCAAGCCAGAAAAGAAUGUGGAAAUGGCUUUAUAUAAAUUAAUAACCAGAAAACAAAAAGAAGAUGAGACAUUGGAUGAGUUCGUCACAAGUUUGAAGAAUUUAAGCCUGGCCUGUAACCUAGACAAUCAAAGGGAUAAAAUUGUCAAAGCAAUUAUGAUUGCAAAUUUGCUGCCAAAGUUUGAAGAGGUGAGAAUCCAAAUAUUGAUGAAGCAGGAUGAAACAUUGGAGAAUGCCAUCAAAAUCAUCAAAACAUUCGAUGCAUCAAGGCGUCAGGUGCAGGAGAUGGAUGCAACUGAACCUGUGGUAGGCAAAAUCAGCAGACGUUAUCAAGAUGAUGCUCGGCAAAGUACAGAGCAGCGCAGUCAUCAAAGAACUACCAACAGUGCUAAGCAGUAUGUGAGUGGUCCGAAGCACAAAGGACAAUCAAGUCGGCGGUACGGUUCUUCUAAGGUGCAAGCCGAUGACUCGAGAAGGACUGGAAACUACAGUAGGUGCAAAAACUGUGGAAAUACCAAACAUUAUUCUGGAAGGUGCCCUGCCAUUGGGAGAAAAUGUGACAAUUGCAAUGGGUCAAAUCACUUCUCAAGAGUGUGCAAGUAUGCUGAGCGAAAAGUGAGACUGGUGGAUGAGGAGUCGACUGAUAGCGACGAUUACUAUUCGGAAGAUGAUGGUCCUGAGCUAUUCAUUGGUGCGAUCGAAUCCAAGCAGGAGGACGAUCAGUGAACAACAAUAGACGAGAAAGCCUGCUUCCCCACGAAAUUGCAGAUU